rnacentral:lncRNA from 1 species
CAGCUCCCCUGCAUUAUGCAUGCCUAAAUGCUCCAUGCACUAAAUAGAGACUAAAUAGAGUGUGUUUUUUGUUCAUUUGUGUGUGUAUUGUGUGUGUGUGUGUGUGUGUGUGUGUUCUCUCUGUGCAGUAUAAUGCUCUUCCCCAGUAGCUCUACACAGGCUGUGUUCCACAGUAAACAGCAGCAGUACUGGUUUCAGUUGUAUUGAUGCAGCCGAGCAGUGAUAUCGUGACAGUGCGUAGGUGGACUUUUCCAGUAUGUGACAUCAUCACAUCUCACCCAGUAACCACCGUCAGAGGGAUCUGACGCUCCGGCCGACUCUACACAGCGAGAUCGGUGACUGUGUGCACGGUUAUAGCCAGUUUAGCGCUCCAUCAGAUUCAUCAGAGCGAGCCUUCAGGACCACCUCAGUCCUUCCUCGCCCAGCAGAGGCUCCAGACCCAGAGCAGGAGGGGGUUCAUCUCCAGACCCAAACUUUAAUAAUCAGACUCACGAGCUCAAGAGCUUGGUCUCCCUCUGCUGGCAGCUGGUGCAAAGUGAUGUGGGCACCUCUUCUUAUUCAAUGUUUUAUCUUUAUUUCUUUAUUUAAUUCAUUUUCUACAUUGUAGAUUAAUAUUAAAGACAUGAAAGCAAUUAAGGGACACAUAUCAUAUGGAAUUAUGCAGUAAACAGUAAAAAAAAAUGUGUUAUUACUCCACAUUAAUCCCCUGAUCAAAAUCUGAUGAACUGAGAUGGUGAUUUGAGGGGAUUUAAUUGGAAUGAGCUGGAGCUUCACAGCGUGAAGGAAAGAAAAGCAGCAACUAUUGUUCAGCACCUCCAGGAACUCCUUCCUUCCAGACGCUGAGAAAACUAUUCCAGGAGACUCUCCCUCAUUAAGAUACUGAGAUUAAAAUCUCACCAAGAGUGUGCAGAUCUGUCCUCAAAGAUACAUGUGGCUAAUUAGAAGAAUCUAAAGUAUAAACCAUAUUCUGGUUUGUUUAAAACAGUUUUUAUUUACAUAAUAAUUGAGCAUGUGUUUUAGUAGAGCUUUAAUCUAGUCUUCAAUAUUCAAUUUACACUGUUAAAAAAAAUAAAGAAUGGGAAGAGGUGUUUCCA